GCAGUCGACGAACUCUGGUAUUGAUUGGUGCUUGCAUCAUGAUUUACAUUUGAGUGAGUGGCGAACUGGUGAGUAACACGUGGGAAACCUGCCCAGAAGCGGGGGAUAACACCUGGAAACAGAUGCUAAUACCGCAUAACAACUUGGACCGCAUGGUCCGAGUUUGAAAGAUGGCUUCGGCUAUCACUUUUGGAUGGUCCCGCGGCGUAUUAGCUAGAUGGUGGGGUAACGGCUCACCAUGGCAAUGAUACGUAGCCGACCUGAGAGGGUAAUCGGCCACAUUGGGACUGAGACACGGCCCAAACUCCUACGGGAGGCAGCAGUAGGGAAUCUUCCACAAUGGACGAAAGUCUGAUGGAGCAACGCCGCGUGAGUGAAGAAGGGUUUCGGCUCGUAAAACUCUGUUGUUAAAGAAGAACAUAUCUGAGAGUAACUGUUCAGGUAUUGACGGUAUUUAACCAGAAAGCCACGGCUAACUACGUGCCAGCAGCCGCGGUAAUACGUAGGUGGCAAGCGUUGUCCGGAUUUAUUGGGCGUAAAGCGAGCGCAGGCGGUUUUUUAAGUCUGAUGUGAAAGCCUUCGGCUCAACCGAAGAAGUGCAUCGGAAACUGGGAAACUUGAGUGCAGAAGAGGACAGUGGAACUCCAUGUGUAGCGGUGAAAUGCGUAGAUAUAUGGAAGAACACCAGUGGCGAAGGCGGCUGUCUGGUCUGUAACUGACGCUGAGGCUCGAAAGUAUGGGUAGCAAACAGGAUUAGAUACCCUGGUAGUCCAUACCGUAAACGAUGAAUGCUAAGUGUUGGAGGGUUUCCGCCCUUCAGUGCUGCAGCUAACGCAUUAAGCAUUCCGCCUGGGGAGUACGGCCGCAAGGCUGAAACUCAAAGGAAUUGACGGGGGCCCGCACAAGCGGUGGAGCAUGUGGUUUAAUUCGAAGCUACGCGAAGAACCUUACCAGGUCUUGACAUACUAUGCAAAUCUAAGAGAUUAGACGUUCCCUUCGGGGACAUGGAUACAGGUGGUGCAUGGUUGUCGUCAGCUCGUGUCGUGAGAUGUUGGGUUAAGUCCCGCAACGAGCGCAACCCUUAUUAUCAGUUGCCAGCAUUAAGUUGGGCACUCUGGUGAGACUGCCGGUGACAAACCGGAGGAAGGUGGGGAUGACGUCAAAUCAUCAUGCCCCUUAUGACCUGGGCUACACACGUGCUACAAUGGAUGGUACAACGAGUUGCGAACUCGCGAGAGUAAGCUAAUCUCUUAAAGCCAUUCUCAGUUCGGAUUGUAGGCUGCAACUCGCCUACAUGAAGUCGGAAUCGCUAGUAAUCGCGGAUCAGCAUGCCGCGGUGAAUACGUUCCCGGGCCUUGUACACACCGCCCGUCACACCAUGAGAGUUUGUAACACCCAAAGUCGGUGGGGUAAC
rnacentral:rRNA from 2 species